rnacentral:lncRNA from 1 species
UGACUUCAGGAAUGAAGCCACAGACCCACUCGCUGGGAGUGUUACAGCUCAUAAAGGUAGUGUGGACCCAAACAGACAGCAGUGAAUAAGUCACAACAGAUGGUGAGUGAAGGUGUAAACCUUGGGAACCUCUAGCAGGAGCCACCUCCUGUGUGGAAGGUGACCAGAGGGCAGUGCAGCCAGUGCCAUGACCCAGGGCCAAGAUGUAAUGAUUGCAAUGCUGCUACCUCCACCAUUUGGUAAAGCAGAUUUCAGUCAACUAGUUUGGUUUUCUCAUCUACAAUAUGUAAAGCAAGUGGUCUCAUUUUGGCUUUGAUUUGAC